GAUGAACGCUGGCGGCGUGCCUAAUACAUGCAAGUCGAGCGAACAGACGAGGAGCUUGCUCCUCUGACGUUAGCGGCGGACGGGUGAGUAACACGUGGAUAACCUACCUAUAAGACUGGGAUAACUUCGGGAAACCGGAGCUAAUACCGGAUAAUAUAUUGAACCGCAUGGUUCAAUAGUGAAAGACGGUUUUGCUGUCACUUAUAGAUGGAUCCGCGCCGCAUUAGCUAGUUGGUAAGGUAACGGCUUACCAAGGCGACGAUGCGUAGCCGACCUGAGAGGGUGAUCGGCCACACUGGAACUGAGACACGGUCCAGACCCCUACGGGAGGCAGCAGUAGGGAAUCGUCCGCAAUGGGCGAAAGCCUGACGGAGCAACGCCGCGUGAGUGAUGAAGGUCUUCGGAUCGUAAAACUCUGUUAUUAGGGAAGAACAAAUGUGUAAGUAACUAUGCACGUCUUGACGGUACCUAAUCAGAAAGCCACGGCUAACUACGUG
rnacentral:rRNA from 1 species